rnacentral:rRNA from 1 species
GGGCCCGCACAAGCGGCGGAGCAUGUGGCUUAAUUCGAAGCAACGCGAAGAACCUUACCAGGGCUUGAAAUAUACCGGACCGCCUCAGAAAUGAGGUUUCUUUUAGUCGGUAUACAGGUGGUGCAUGGUUGUCGUCAGCUCGUGCCGUGAGGUGUUGGGUUAAGUCCCGCAACGAGCGCAACCCUUGUCCUAUGUUGCCAGCGAGUAAUGUCGGGGACUCAUGGGAGACUGCCGGUGUCAAACCGGAGGAAGGUGGGGAUGACGUCAAAUCAUCAUGCCCCUUAUGUCCUGGGCUGCACACAUGCUACAAUGGCCGGUACAGAGGGCUGCGAUCCCGCGAGGGUGAGCGAAUCUCACAAAGCCGGUCUCAGUUCGGAUUGGAGUCUGCAACUCGACUCCAUG